rnacentral:rRNA from 1 species
UCGAACGGUAACAGGAAACAGCUUGCUGUUUCGCUGACGAGUGGCGGACGGGUGAGUAAUGUCUGGGAAACUGCCUGAUGGAGGGGGAUAACUACUGGAAACGGUAGCUAAUACCGCAUAACGUCGCAAGACCAAAGAGGGGGACCUUCGGGCCUCUUGCCAUCGGAUGUGCCCAGAUGGGAUUAGCUAGUAGGUGGGGUAAAGGCUCACCUAGGCGACGAUCCCUAGCUGGUCUGAGAGGAUGACCAGCCACACUGGAACUGAGACACGGUCCAGACUCCUACGGGAGGCAGCAGUGGGGAAUAUUGCACAAUGGGCGCAAGCCUGAUGCAGCCAUGCCGCGUGUAUGAAGAAGGCCUUCGGGUUGUAAAGUACUUUCAGCGGGGAGGAAGGGAGUAAAGUUAAUACCUUUGCUCAUUGACGUUACCCGCAGAAGAAGCACCGGCUAACUCCGUGCCAGCAGCCGCGGUAAUACGGAGGGUGCAAGCGUUAAUCGGAAUUACUGGGCGUAAAGCGCACGCAGGCGGUUUGUUAAGUCAGAUGUGAAAUCCCCGGGCUCAACCUGGGAACUGCAUCUGAUACUGGCAAGCUUGAGUCUCGUAGAGGGGGGUAGAAUUCCAGGUGUAGCGGUGAAAUGCGUAGAGAUCUGGAGGAAUACCGGUGGCGAAGGCGGCCCCCUGGACGAAGACUGACGCUCA